UACGUAGGGGGCAAGCGUUGUCCGGAUUUAUUGGGCGUAAAGCGCACGCAGGCGGUCUUUUAAGUUUCGAGUGACAGGUGGGGGCUCAACUCCCACAGGCCUUGGAAAACUGGGAGACUUGAGGAUGAGAGAGGGAUGCGGAAUUCCAGGUGGAGCGGUGAAAUGCGUAGAGAUCUGGAAGAACACCAAAGGCGAAGGCAGCAUCCUGGAUCAUAUCUGACGCUCAUGUGCGAAAGCUAGGGGAGCGAACGGG
rnacentral:rRNA from 1 species